UAUCAAGUAUGCCAUGUAGUAAAAGUGAAGAUGCCAUUAUGCAGAUUAAUCUACAAUAAUAAGGAACCAAUAUAAGCGGAUAACUCAUGAUGACAUGUACAACUAGAUUAGAUCUUUUAUCUAAUUGUUACUCCUACUAUUUUAUCGAAUACCAUAACCCUUUCCUAUAAUAAAUGAGAAAUUCUAUUGGUUUUCUUAGUGGGGUUG
rnacentral:lncRNA from 1 species